GACGCCGCGUGUGUGACGAAGGUCUUCGGAUCGUAAAGCACUGUCAGGUGGGAAGAAGACAUGCGUAUAAAUUACGCGUGUGUUGACGGUACCGCCGAAGGAAGCACCGGCUAACUCCGUGCCAGCAACUUCGGUGACUGAGCGGGCUGGCAAGGCGCAUA
rnacentral:rRNA from 1 species